CCUACGGGAGGCAGCAGUGGGGGAUAUUGCACAAUGGGGGAAACCCUGAUGCAGCAACGCCGCGUGGGUGAAGGAGCGUUUCGGCGCGUAAAGCCCUGUCAGCGGGGAAGAAGAAAGACGUUACCCGACCAAGAAGCCCCGGCUAACUCCGUGCCAGCAGCCGCGGUAAUACGUAGGGGGCGAGCGUUAUCCGGAAUUAUUGGGUUUAAAGGGUGCGUAGGCGGGGUAUCAAGUCAGCGGUAAAAUCGUGGAGCUAAACUCCAUCCAGCCGUUGAAACUGAUUGUCUUGAGUGGGCGAGAAGUAUGCGGAAUGCGGGGUGUAGCGGUGAAAUGCAUAGAUAUCACGAAGAAAUCCGAUUGCGAAGGCAGCAUACCGGAGCCCGACGGACGCUGAAGCACGAAAGCGUGGGUAUCGAACAGGAUUAGAUACCCGAGUAGUC
rnacentral:rRNA from 1 species